AACCUCUGGCAAUGGGCAAAGAGACACCUUGUUGGUGGUGUCAUUCUCCUGUUUGUCAGGGCAAAGCCGAUGGCUGUCCUUUGUUUAUCCUAGCUUGAUGCCUGGCUUGGUGGCCAAAGUUGUUUCAUGCCUAAGGCACAGUU
rfam:Mesocricetus auratus contig039323, whole genome shotgun sequence.